GGAGAUAUAGUUCAGUGGUUAAGAGCACUGAUUGCUCUUCCAGAGGACCUGGGUUCAAUCCCCAGCAUCCACA
rfam:Neotoma lepida isolate 417 scaffold_485, whole genome shotgun sequence.